rnacentral:tRNA from 1 species
GUCGCUGUAGGCAAAUGGUUAAGCCGCCAGCUUAUGCUGGAGAUGCGGGUCCGAUUCCCGUCAGUGACA